rnacentral:rRNA from 1 species
UACAGAGGUCUCAAGCGUUGUUCGGAAUCACUGGGCGUAAAGGGUGCGUAGGCCGCACGGAAAGUCAGAGGUGAAAUCCCGGAGCUCAACUUCGGAAUUGCCUCCGAUACUCCCGUGCUUGAGGACUGGAGAGGAGUCUGGAAUUCACAGUGGAGCAGUGAAAUGCGUAGAUAUUGUGAGGAACACUAGUGGCGAAGGCGAGACUCUGGACAGUUCCUGACGCUGAGGCACGAAGGCCAGGGGGAGCAAACGGGG